rnacentral:lncRNA from 1 species
CUCUUUCUAGACAGUCCAGUGGAACGCUAGCAGGUUCAUAACCUGUAGGUGUUGUGAACGAUGUGUUCACCGGUGUACUCUAUCCCCCUCAUGGUUGCCUUUAGGAUAUCUAUUGUUGAGGAAACCCCUUCGCAGUGAUGUCCGUCCCGAUGAAAAUCCUAGAUUAGGUCCCUUGAGAUAGUUGUUUUAGGGACGUAAAGUGAGGAUAACGGGAAUGGGUAAUCGGGAUAGUGAUUGGUUGGUGAAAUUAAAUAUAACUUAUUUAUUGUGGGUUGAAAACCCUAUAUGCUCACCAGGCUCCCAAGCCUGACCCACUCAGUUUUAUUUGUAUUACAGGAAGUGGCACAAGGGCGUAAGAUGGAUGGAUCAUCUUGUUGUUUUGUUUACAAGUCUGUAUAUGUAUAUAUUUGUUGAAUGACUUGUAAUGUUUAUCGUUUAUGCUUUAUGGUCUGUAUCGGAACAUGACAUCCCGAGUUUUGAUUAUAUAAUGAAAUGCAUCUCUUGAUGAAAUGCUUUGAUAAAUAUUAUUUUAUCAUGUUUUGUUUUGGGAACAAAUUCCGCAACUCUUUCAAAUCAAAAGGAUUUACUCUGAAAAUAUUUAAAAGCAUAAAUGAAAAUCGGUCUUUUCUGGCCGAGAUUUUGGGGAUGUCACAGUUGGUAUCAGAGCAUUAGUUUAAGCGAACUAGGAAUUUGUAGGAUUUCUAGACUUAAACUUAGAAUGCUAAGUGGAAUUUUGAGAUGUGUGUCUGUUGGAUUUUAGACACGAGCACUAGUUUAUUUUAGGAAAGUUGCCUAAAAUGCUUUUAUGUGCUAAAUGUUAUAUGUUGCCAUAUAUGAUAUUAUUUGUUCGGAUCUACGGUUUGUUGCCAACCGGAUCUGAAGGUUUAUGUGUUUAGGAUUCUAAGCGUAUGUAUACGAUAUUAGAACUAGCAUGUAAUCGUUUGGAGUAAUAAGGUGAAAUUAUUCGGUGUGUAGAUCAAAAAUGGUGAGAACAAGGAGUGGCGUUGGAAACGCAGAUGAAAACAGGAAUCAACCGCCAGUGAUUGAGCAAAUACCUGUUGUAGCAGCAGCACCAGAACCAAUAACAAUGGCUGCGGUGCAAGCCAUGAUUCGGGCUAUGCUAGCCGAACAAAGGGAGGAGAUGCGACAAAUGUUGCAUAAUAAUAGGGAUGAACCUGUCAUACCUAUUGAGGAACCUGAAUUGAUUCCCGAGCAAUCGGAGGAAGGGAACAAUAGUCGCAUGGUGAGUCAAGUUGGGACUCAAGAGGAACGAAGGAACGAUCCAGAAAGGAGAAACAACAAGGAUGGGCGUAUGUACAAGAAUUUCUUGGGCGCCAAACCGCCAAGUCUUUCUGGGAGCCCAAAGCCUGUUGAGAUAAUGGAUUGGAUCUCCGAAAUGGAGAUGGUAUUUGAAAGUUGCGACUGUAGCAACAAACAGAAGACCGUCUUUGCGGUUAGACAACUGAAGACUGGAGUCUUGAGUUGGUGGAAGUUGUUGGCAGAUACUAUGCCACGAGGAGAAGCCCUGAAAAUGUCAUGGGAGGAGUUCUUGGAACAGUUAAGGGUGCAGUAUUGUUCGGAGAUAGAUCUGAUUGAUCUGAACAAUGAGUUUCAAAACUUAAAGAAGGGGAAGAUGAGCAUAGAUGACUAUGCUACUGCAUUUACUGAGAAGAUGAAGUUGUUUCCGUACCUAGUGCCAACGGAACUCUCCAAGAUUGAGAGGUUUGCUAACGGACUGCCUGCUGACUUUGGUCCGACAGUCAAAAUGGCAACCACUCUGAAAACGGCUGUUCGUGCAGCUAAGAAUGUGGAGGCCCAGCAGAAGGAAAAGGGUCUGGAAAGAAUAGAUGUUGGAGAAAAGAGGAAGUUCGAUGGAACUUCAGGGUCCAACAAGAAAAACAAGUUCUCGAAGUCUGGUUCGAGGGGAGGUGGAGGUGAAGCGAAAUGGUGCGACAAAUGUAAGAAGAAGCAUCAUGGAAGAUGUGAGGUGGCGAACACAUGCUACAAGUGUGGAAAGCCAGGGCACUAUGCCAAUGAGUGUACCCUCACAAAGAAAGUUUGCUAUGGUUGUGGUGAGGAGGGUCAUAUGUCGAGGGACUGCCCGAAGAAGAAGGAGGCAGCUAGACCCAACAUUCCGCCAAAGCCAAAGGCGAGAGCAUUCCAGAUGACACUGGAAGCUGCUAAAGAUGAAGCUGAUGUCGCUUCAGGUACCUUUCUCGUUAACGAAUUGCCUGCCCAAAUUUUAUUUGAUUCUGGAGCCAACUACUCCUUUAUAUCGCAUGAAUUUGGUAGAAAGCUAGCUUUGCCUGUUGUUAGACUAGAUAAUGCUUUAUUAGUCGAAGUUGCUAGUGGCAAGUUUGUACCUGUUAGCUAUCGCAUGAAAAACAUCUUAAUUGAUCUGAAUGGGAAUAAGUUCCACGAGGAAUUAUUGCCUAUCGAACUUAAUGGUUUCGACAUCGUAUUGGGAAUGGAUUGGCUUAGCGCCAACGACGCCGAAAUUUUAUGCAAGAAGAAAAUAGUCAAAGUAAACCCGCCUGGGAAAGAUUCGUUUAUGGUGUAUGGAGAUAAACGCAGAGUGAAUUCUGGAAUCAUUUCAUUGAUGAAAGCCAGAAAAUGUUUGACCAAGGGGUGUACAUCGUAUUUAGCAUUCGUGAUUGAUGCUAAGAAGGAAAAGAAGGUGAUGCAGAAUAUUCCAGUGGUGUGUGAUUAUCCGGAAGUAUUUCCCGAAGAUCUUCCUGGAUUACCGCCUGAUCGACAAGUGGAAUUCCGUAUUGACUUGUUGCCAGGAACAACGCCAAUUGCGAAAGCACCUUAUCGAUUAGCACCGACGGAGAUGAAGGAGCUAAUGAUGCAACUUCAGGAGUUAUUGGACAACGGUUUCAUUAGACCUAGUUCAUCGCCCUGGGGAGCUCCGGUGUUAUUUGUAAAGAAGAAAGAUGGAAGUAUGAGAAUGUGCAUCGAUUACAGAGAGCUGAACAAGGCAACAAUAAAGAAUAGAUAUCCGUUGCCGAGGAUUGAUGACCUGUUUGAUCAAUUGCAAGGUUCGAGCUAUUUCUCGAAGAUCGAUCUUAGGUCAGGAUAUCAUCAGCUAAAAGUAAGAGAGCAAGAUAUCGAGAAGACUGCAUUCAGAACUAGAUAUGGACACUACGAGUUCUUGGUUAUGUCGUUUGGACUAACCAAUGCUCCAGCAGCGUUCAUGGAUUUGAUGAAUAGGGUUUGUAACCCGUUCCUUGAUAAAUCCGUGAUAGUGUUCAUAGACGACAUUCUGAUUUACUCGAAAAGCCAGGAGGAGCAUGGCAGACACUUGCGAGAAGUGUUAGAAGUUUUGAAGAAGGAGAAGCUGUAUGCUAAGUUCUCCAAAUGUGAUUUUUGGAUUCGUGAAGUCCAAUUCUUGGGUCACGUGGUCAACCAAGAAGGGAUAAUGGUUGAUCCAGCGAAGAUCGAAGCUGUGACGAAGUGGGAACAACCGAAAAGUCCCACGGAGAUUCGAAGCUUUUUAGGAUUAGCCGGAUAUUACCGAAGGUUUAUCCAAGGCUUUUCUUCGAUCGCUAGUCCAUUGUCAGCUUUGACCCACAAAGGAGCUACUUAUGCUUGGGGUGAGAAGCAUAAGGAAGCAUUUGAGAAGCUAAAGGAGAAGCUAUGCGAGGCACCGAUACUUUCUCUACCCGAUGGAGUUGAAGACUUCGCUGUCUAUAGCGAUGCGUCUGGUGUUGGAUUGGGUUGUGUUUUGACCCAAAGAGAAAAGGUGAUAGCAUAUGCGUCUCGACAGCUGAAAGAGCAUGAAAAGAAUUACCCGACUCAUGAUUUGGAGUUGGCAGCGGUAGUUUUCGCUCUGAAAAUAUGGAGGCAUUACCUCUAUGGCACGAAGUGCAAACUUUUCACUGAUCAUAAGAGUCUCCAAUACCUCUUUAAUCAGAAAGAAUUGAAUAUGAGGCAACGACGCUGGCUAGAAUUACUUAAAGACUAUGACUGCGAGAUACUUUACCACCCCGGUAAAGCUAAUGUUGUUGCUGAUGCUCUCAGUCGGAAAGUCAAUCCCGAAAGGAAAAGGCCAAGAGCGUUGAGAAUUGAAGUUGUCUCAACUAUUUUGGAAAGUAUAAAGAAAGCUCAGAGCGAAGCUUCUGAGAAGAAUGACAGAAAGGAGGAACGUUUGGGCAAAACGUUGGUGUUCGGUGUAAACAGUCAUGGACUGAAGGUGUUCCAAGAUCGGAUUUGGAUACCUAAGACAGGAGGAGUCAGAGAUCUUCUGAUGGAAGAAGCUCACAAGACCAUGUACUCGAUUCAUCCGGGUAGCACUAAAAUGUAUAGGGACCUGAAACCCUACUACUGGUGGCCGACGAUGAAGCUUGAUGUUGCAAAGUAUGUGGCCGAGUGUGUGACUUGUGCGAGAGUCAAGACACAACAUCAGAAACCGUACGGGAGUUUAGAACCUUUGCCUGUGCCUAUGGGUAAGUGGGAAGACAUUGCUAUGGAUUUUGUCACUAAACUGCCCAGAACAAAGAAUGGUCACGACAUGAUUUGGGUGGUCGUUGAUCGAUUCACUAAGAGUGCGCAUUUCAUAGCGGCCAGGGAGAAAUGGUCUAUGGAGAAGCUUGCGAAUUCUUACGUGAAGGAAAUUGUGAGGCUUCACGGUGUUCCGUUAACGAUUGUGUCGGAUCGUGAUAGCCGUUUCACAUCGAGGUUUUGGAAAAGUCUACAAGAGGAAUUGGGUACCAAGUUGUGUUUAAGUACAGCUUACCAUCCGCAGACUGAUGGUCAGAGCGAACGAACGAUACAAACACUUGAAGAUAUGCUGAGAGCAUGUACUCUGGAAUUCCUAGGUAAUUGGGAUGAACAUUUACCGUUGGUAGAAUUUUCCUAUAAUAAUAGUUUCCACUCGAGCAUUAAGAUGGCACCUUACCAAGCUUUGUAUGGACAGAAGUGUCGUACGCCGUCUUGUUGGCUUGAGGCUGGGGAAAAGCAGUUUAUGGGACCGGAGUUGGUUCAUCAAACUGCUGAAAAGUUGAAAAUAAUUAGGGAAAGAAUGUUAGCAGCUCAGGAUCGUCAAAAGAGCUAUGCUGACAAGAAGCGGAGACCGAUAACUUUUGAGGUUGGGGAUUCGGUUUUGCUUAAAGUCUCGCCGUGGAAGGGACUUAUAAGAUUUGGUAAAAGGGGAAAGUUGAGUCCAAGGUUUAUUGGACCGUUUAAAGUUCUUCAGAGGAUUGGGAACCAAGCUUACAAGCUCGAAUUACCCGAAGAACUGAAUGGAAUUCACAACACUUUUCAUGUGUGUUAUUUGAGGAAGUUCACGGGAGAAGUUCCCGAUAUAAUUCCAAUUUCUGAAUUGAGAAUUGAUGAGAACAAAAGGUUGAUUGAAGAACCAGAGGCAAUUGUUGACCGAAAGACUAAGAAGUUGCGACGCAAAAUGGUUGGGUUAGUGCUUGUCCGAUGGAAACACACGAAUGGGCCGAAUCUCACCUGGGAGACGGAGAGUGACAUGUUGAGUCGCUAUCCGCAUUUGUUUGUUGAUGUGUGAUUCCGGGGACGGAAUCAUUCUAAGGUGGAGAGAAUUGUAACGCCUGUGUUUCCGGGCUUGCCAUUUUUAGCAAUGUAAUAGUCUAGGUUAACCUUUGUAACCCGUUUUGAAAUAAUAAGAUUGUAUUAUUUGAGUAUUAUGUGUUUUGUGCUUAAUUGCUUAAUUAUGUGGUUUGAUUAAUUAAGAAUAAAAAUAAGCGUCAAAAUUUAAGUGUAAAAUAAACUUAAUAUCUUUGGUUAAUGUUGUAGUAGUUGAAACGAGGUUUCCGAAUAUAUAUAGAACGCCCAAAUCUGACUUCGUAUGAGGAAGUUAUGAUUUAUCGAAGUUCCGGCUUAGCGGUAUACAGCCUGUUUUACUCGAUUUGAGAUCGAGCGGUUGUUAGCCGAAGCAAUCUAAAUGAGAAUCGAAGAUCUCAUUGUUGGUAUCGAAGCGAUAAAAAGUUAGGCGAGAACGGACGUCAAACGAAGAAGUUAUGAAUUUAUAACGAAAGUUUCUGUCGCGGCCUAUUAAAAAUAAUUAAUAAAAAUAAAGUCAAAAUUAGCCGACGGAGUCUAAACGAAAGUCGUAGAGCGUGGUCUCACCUUUCCGUGGAUAUAAAGAACGUCGAAAACGGAGUUCGUAUGAAGAAGUUAUGAAUUUCCGAAGUUUAUUAAUCAUUUUGUAUUUAUAUUUAAAUCAAAAUUCGGAAGCAUUAUCCGAAGGAGUCACCGAUCUGAUCCGAGGUACGCCCCGCGUACUCGAGUACGCCCCGCGUACUCCGAGGGAUGUCGACACUCGCACUCGAGCACUUCGGAUACGUAAGCAAUGACGUUUUGGGCAGUACGCCCCGCGUAACGCAGUACGCCCCGCGUACUCCGAGGCUCCAGCCUCCUAUAAAUAGGAUGCGAGGGUUCCGGGUAUUUUUGCCAAUUCCCUCUCGUUUUCGUGUCGAAGCUCUGUGCAAAAACCCCCGAAGCUACCCCGAAGUCCCGGUAUCAUACUCUAGCCCCGAGGCAAGUCCCGAGAUCCCGAAGAUCCCGAGAAGUGCGGUUCCCGAGUCGAAGCUCUGCCCGCGAGAAGUUCGAUUUUUGUAGAGAUCUUCCAGAUCUGCUGAGGAUUACUACUUCUGCAAGUCGUAGUGCUGUCCGAUCAUCUUCUGAUCAAGUGAGUGUAUACUACCUUUCAUAAACACGAUAAUAAUACAAGUGCGGUUUGAGUGUAUUAAGUAAAUUGUGGUUUAUAUGUGUGUGGGUGCAGUUACUUUCUUCUAACAAGUAACUAUGAAGUAUUUUAUGCGAUAUACUUGCUAUGUGUAUAUUUUGUGAUUGUAUGCGUGAAUGGAUAUUCACUUUAUUCCAUCUCAUAGAUCUGAAUUGCUUACUAUGAAAUACGUGUUAUGUGGUAUGCCUCAUUUGUUAUAUGGAAUAUAUAUUGAAUGAAAAUGAUAUAUAGGUUUUAAACUAUGUAUGAAAAUAUAUUCUUAUCUACUAAUAUGUUGGGUAGAACAUGGGUAGAUAGUUGGUGUGUAAUAAACAGAUGAGAGGCCUCGAUGUUGUUGUUGUUGUUGAUCUAGUUAUUCAGCGGAGUAUGGAUAACGACCACGAACUCUUUCUAGACAGUCCAGUGGAACGCUAGCAGGGUCAUAACCUGUAGGUGUUGUGAACGAUGUGUUCACCGGUGUACUCUAUCCCCCUCAUUGUUGCCUUUAGGAUAUCUAUUGUUGAGGAAACCCCUUAGCAGUGAUGUCCGUCCCGAUGAAAAUCCUAGAUUAGGUCCCUUGAGAUAGUUGUUGUUUUAGGGACGUAAAGUGAGG